CCAAAACUUGCGCAUACUAAAUUGGGAAGUGAUGAGAAGAUUUGAAACCAAAUCCUCUACACGAUUCCAAACGAUUCCAAUAAAGAAACAGUUAUAGUGGAAUCGUAAUUUUUGAACUGAUUCCAAGUAGGAAUCAGUUCUCGAUACCCAAUCCUAUUUAUUUAGAUUUUAU